rnacentral:lncRNA from 1 species
GUACAUAUUUUUUUUUUUUUUUUUUUUUUUUUUUUUUUUUUUUUUUUUUUUUUUUUUUUUUUUUUUUUUUUUUUUUUUUUUUUUUUUUUUUUUUUUUUUUUUUUUUUUUUUUUUUUUUUUUUUUUUUGUUGCAAUCAUUUUAGGGUAAAGAGAUGAUGAGAAUGUGAGUUGCUUAUUGUGAGUUAAACUUUCCUAAUAUGAUGGUGAGAACCUAUAAAUGUAAAAACCCUAUGUGUAUGCAUGAGAGAAAAGUGAGCAUCGUCCAAAGUGAGCAAAGAACAGAGUGACACUUUGACAUAGAUCGAGUGGCAUUUGAAUACGUAAAGUAAAGUGACACUAGUUAGUGUGAGCCAAAGAACCAAAGUGAUGUAAAGAAUGAUGUAAUGACAAUGUGUAAAGUUAAAGUAAAGUGGGCAAUAAGAAUAAGAAAUGUAAAGAACAAGAAUCUAAAGUUAGCAAAAGUAAGGAAAUGUAAAGAACCAAUGAUGCUAGAGUAGCAACAUGAAGUGACGUAAAGAAACUAGAGUUAGUGGUAAAGUCAAGAUUGAACAUAUUAACCUUUGAGUUAAGAUUCGAUCAUACUUGCUAUGAGUUCCGUGCUCGGAGGGCGGUCGCGUCUCCCUCGGGCGAUGCGCUCCGGAGUUAUGCAUCACGGUUGGAGUAAACCACGAGGACGGUCCUAGCGUGAGUUCCUGCGAUGAUGGAUUAAAUGUGAAGCAAGUCAAUGUGCGAAACCCCGCGGGUUAGCCUUGAGAUUAAAGAAUAAAGAAUAAAAAACAAAGACAAAGAACAAAAGAACAAGUUAAAGAUAAAGAACGAAAGAACUUGCAUAAUCUGCAUAUUGUUAAUGUUGAGCAUAUCCUUGCUUAUUGUUCAGGCAUAUUAGCAUCAUGUUGUAGAUUGGUUACAUAUUUUCAGGCUUAUCCUUUCUAUUAUGCCGUGAGUUAGUCCUAUGGGGAAAAGUCGGUGAUGUUGGGCCCGAACCACUGGAACUGUUGUUGUGGUUUCUCACCCCACUAUUUCACAGAGCCGGGACCGAGCGAGCCGCGAGCGACCGAGGUAAGAGAUAUCGCGCCUUAGUCAGAAGCCACCAAAGUUGGGUUUCAUUUUGUAGUAAAGUACCUCUAUGCAUCAUCUUGUACAUGAGUGGUAAAUGUGUAAAGAAAAAGAAUGUAAUGUGUAUUGAGGUAAAUGCGAUGUAAGAAAGAAAUGAUGAAAUGAAAUUGAAGGAAUUCGAAAAUGAACAAGAUGAAUGCAUGUAUAUGAUCAAAAAUGAAUCAUAGUCAAGUAAAAUGUUUAGUUCCUUUCUGUUCACUCGUGGCUAUUGCUUACCCUCGUGUAAGCCGUUUGUGUAUUUUCCGCUAGUAGCUUUUCUCUAUUGAUGAAAAUGUACAUGUGUGAGCCUUGGGCGAUAGGGGAACUCUGUCCGUUCGGCGUCUGUUUGACGUGCUCGGUCGGCCAAAUUGGUAUCGGUCGGGCGUGACAACUGUAGGUGGCACAAGCUGGACUACAAUAUUGGGUCCUCGAAACAUGUUGGAAAUAAUGACAUUUGAUCGAGAGAUGAUAAUCACUACUAGAUAGGUUUAGUAGUUGGAUUACUAUGACAUGCUUUAGCAUAGUGUUGAGACGUAGUAUACUCGAUAGUUUAUUUAUUGCCAGCAUCAGUACACUUGCUACGAUGAUAGAGCAUAUUCAUCAUACAUUGACAUUGUGAUCAUGUUACUACCUGUUCGUUCUGUUUGGACAUAUUAGUCAUGUUUGGACUUACUUCAUUGGGAUAAAGUAGAUUACACACUUUUCGACAUCAUGUAUACUUUUGAUAUAGUAGCUUUAGCAAUUAUUUAUGCUUUCAUAAUGCAACUAUUUCGUUGCUAUUGCCUUGUCGACUUACCUUUUCUUUGGCCUAGUGGCUGCAUUGAAGCUGAGGCAGAGUAAUUGGCCCCUGGGGAACAUAUAAAUAUAGUUCUCACGCGUAUUUUGAGGUAAAUGUGAUGUAAGAAAGAAAUGAUGAAAUGAAAUUUAAGGAAUUCGAAAAUGAACAAGAUGAAUGCAUGUAUAUGAUCAAAAAUGAAUCAUAGUACAAGUGAAUGUUUAGUUUCCUUUUCCUUUCACUCGUGGCUAUUGCUUACCCUCGUGUAAGCCGUUUGUGUAUGUUUCCGCUAGUGCUUUUCUCUAUUGAUGAAAAUGUACAUGUGAUGAGCCUUGGGCGGAUAGGGGAAACUCUGUCCGUUCGGCGUCUGUUUGACGUGCUCGGGUCGGGCCAAAUUGGUAUCGGUCCCGGGGCGUGACACUUAGGUGGCACAAGCUGGACUACAAUAUGUGGGUCCUAGAACAUGUUGGAAAUAAUGACAUUUGAUCGAGAGAUGAUAAUCACUACUAGAUAGGUUUAGUAGUUGGAUUACUAUGACAUGCUUAUAGCAUAGUGUUGAGACGUAGUAUACUCGAUAGUUUAUUUAUUGCAGCAUAGUACACUUGCUACCAUGAUAGAGCAUAUUCAUCAUACAUUGACAUUGUGGAUCAUGUUACUUACCUGUUCGUUGUGUUUGGACAUAUUAGUCAUGUUUGGACUUACUUCAUUGGGAUAAAGUAGAUGUACACACUUUCGACAUCAUGUAUACUUGUGAUAUAGUAGCUUAGCAAUUAUUUAUGCUUUCAUAAUGCAACUAUUUCGUUGCUAUUGCCUUGUCGACUUACCUUUUCUUUUGGGGCCUAGUGGUGCAUUAAGCUGAGGUCAGUAAUUGGCCACUGGGAACUAUAAAUUAUAGUUCUCACGCCCUCUAUUUUAUGUCUUCUUUUAGAGCCUUCCACGCCGGGAGAGGCUAUGGACCACGGGAAGGGCGUUGCUUCGAGCUAGCUCUUCUGCAAGGGACGAGUGGAUAGGUGGUCUACCUCUCGAUGUUUUUAUUUUGGAGAGGUUGAGAGCUGUACCAGUGUACUAGAGACCCCCCCUUUGUGUACUAUUUUGGGAGACGUUAUUGUACUACUUUAUGUUCUACUCUUAUUAUUUUUGUAUACCUCUUUUACCUUGUUAUAAACUAUAGAUCUAUCUGUGCUCUGAUAUCUCUAGAUGUAGGUUACUUUUGGUUUAUUUUUCUGCUGUUGUUGUAGACGCCUUAUAUGUGUGGACAUAUGGCGGGUCUGGGCACGCCACCGGGAGGGCCUCUGCCGGUCCCGGGGCGUGACAGAUUAUUUUGGUAUCAGAGCCUAGGGUUGAGUCUUAGUGGACCUAGCAAACCUUAGGCCGGUUGGCCUAUAGGAAAUAGGCUCGUGAGAGACGAGGUCUAUUCGACUUGUGAGCGAAAGUAUUAUUGUAACACACUCGACCUGUGCAAAUUGCGAGGUUCGAGUGUUCGAUUUGUAUUUCGAACUUUUCCACACUUGGUGGAGGGCCGUCGAUGGUAUACCGGUCUAAAAGUUCGAUCUCGAGAGUUUUGGCAGAGUCCUAAGAGUUUUUACUCUCGGGGACCGGUCCCUGAUAGGAGAGACCGGUCCCCCAGUGAACAGUGCUGCGUGGCCGGCAAGGCAACCGGUCCCUGGCAGUCGAGACCGGUCCCCGAGCGCGUCUGCGCGGGGAGAGACCGGUCCCGCGCAGGGAGAGACCGGUUCCCGAACGUUGGAUUUUCGGGGGCAGGCUGAGAGACCGGUCCCAGGUCGGGGAGACCGGUCCCUCUGGGCGAAAACUGCCCAGACCGGGCUGAUGUAAAUUUGAGUUUUUGAGGGGCCUAUGUGGAUUUUGUUACUUUAGAGGCUAUAAGCAGCCUCUCCUCCCCUCUCACUCUCAUUUUCUCUCCCUCACACUCUUCCUACACUUCUAGAGAGAGAAAGGGAAGGAGAAGAAGGAGAAGGAGAGGAGAAGAGCUUGCUUGGAGGCCUUGGAGCACCAUCUUCUUCCUCAUUUCCCACCUUUGGAGGCUUGGAGCUUGCGGUUGGAGCUUUGUGGAGGAUCAAACUUCAACCCUACUUGGUUUUGAGCUUGGAUUGGGGCUUCUCUUGAGGUUGGUAGCUUGUAAUCCCCAUUUGUUACAUGCUUUCCUAGGUUUUACUAGAUGAAACCCUAGAUUUUGGGAUUUAGGGUUUAUUUUGGGGGUUUUUGAAUUUGGGGGCUUUGGAACCAAAUUGAUGGGUUUAGAACCUUUGUUUAGGUUAGAUUGGAAGGACUCUAACUCCCAUUUGGAGAUCGUGAGAGCCUUCUUCGCAAUCGGUAAGUUUUCUCCAACCCUAGCUUGAGGAGCUUAAUGAUUGAGCUAUUUGCUCUUCGUUUCGUUUGGGUGACCCUAUUUUUGAUGUUUCUAGGGUACUAGGGAGCUUGUGGAUACCUUCGUUCGGCGAAACGAAGAAGUCGAUUUUGGUGGGUUUGACUUCAUGAAAAUAGGGCAAAAUGGCCCCUAUGCCUUCUAAACUUUUCGUAAAGUAUUUUUGAAUGCAAAUUCAUGCUAAAUAUGAUUUAUGUGAAUUUUAGAACACUUAACAUGCAUGCCUCAUAUAUCGUAAAAUUUGUACUCCAUAUAGUAGAGCUAUAUGUGUAGAUUGCAUGCAUUGUGAAUAGUGCUUGGUUUUACAAGUUGAGAACAUGUCUCCAUGCUAGAGUUGAGUGAAUUUAAGCGUCAUGAACAUAUUAAUGCCAUGCUUGGAACUCGUUGAACCAAAGUGUCAUCAAGGGGCACUUGAAACUAGUAAACUAUUAAACUGCAACCUAGGGACAUGUUGAUAGGCCACUAUAUAUCUGCUACAUUCCAUGUUAGAGACAUGAUGACAUAGAGAUAGGCCAUUGAGAUACUUGACAUAUUCCAUAUUUUUAGACAUGAGGACUUGGUACUUGAGACAGAUCAUUGCUUGCUUGCCAUUUGUGCUCAUUCGCACAUGCUUGUGAGGGUCGCUCCCUACAAGCCGGCACUCCGGAGAUAGCCAUCGCGACACAUGCUCGCCGUGCGGGAUUGGGCGCCGAAGUGGAUUGCCGUGGGGGAGGCUCAUCCCUAGAGUGGGGAUGUUGACUACCACGGGGCCAUUAGGCACGGCGCAGGCCAGACAGCCUUCGGGUGGGUCUUAUAUGAUUGGGACUUAGUGACAGAACGUGCUAUGUGAACUUUAAAACUAUUAAAGUAGACUUGGACUAGAAUAGUAAACAAUGGCAUCUUUACUAUUUUUGCAUUGAGGACAUCGGAUUGGUUGUAUUUCUAUGAUGAUGCAUGUCAUACACAUCCAUAUACAUUCAUGAUAUCGUUGCUUCAUUACUUGUACAAAUCAUGCUAAAUAGAAAGUCUAUGUUAUAGUGAGUUACAUUUUACUUACCUGUCGCUUUACUACAUUGUUAGUCACUGACCUCUUUUUGUAGCUUUGGGCCUUGUGGUGCAUUCACUGAAGUCAGUAAUUGCCCACUGGGAACUAUUUUUAAUAGUUCUCACGCCCCUGUUUCAUUGUUUACUUUUCAGAGCCUUCGGCACCGGCGGAGCGUGAGAUUGGCCUAGGUGGUUUGCUCUUUCUUUUGUAGUUGGGAGAGUGAGAGAUUUUGUAUCCAUGUGUAGAGACCACCUAUGUACCUACUUUUAGCACUUGUAUUUGGGAUUUCCUAUUGUAUUUACUUUAUGUCUUAUUUAGUGAAUUUACUGUUUUAUCCCUUGUUGUAGCAUUUAGACACUUACUAUGCUCUGAUACUUCUAGAUGUCUUCUGUUAUUGCUUUUAUUAUUGUUGUUAGUAGACGCCUUAUAUGUUUUAGACGUAUGGCGGGUCUGGGCACGUGCCGGGCGGGCUUCCGCUGGGCCCCGGGGCGUGACAAUUAUGAUUGGGUCUUAUGACAACUCUAAAAAGUUGGAGUUUAAUCGGAGUGCAUGACUUCUAGCUUCGCGGAGGGUUUCGUUAGCGGCCGACAACCUAACAUUGGGAGUUAGUUGUGGAUGACACUUCCUUAUUUUCGCAUGAUUUGGGUACUGUUAUUUGAGUGGGGAUUCGAUAGCGCGGGUUACUAAUUUGCGCUUUUAUGUUCUGUAGUGACGAUGCCGAUUACAUGCUCUCAAUCUGCGGGAGCGGACAAUGCAGUGCAGUUUGAGGAGGCUGAGACCUCCGCUACCUCCGGAUCCGGCGAGGUCCGUGAGUUGAGGGGCCAGCUGGCAGCCCUCACUGAUUUGGUGACGCGACAGGCAGACACGGCGCUUCCACAGGAGGCGCGGAUGAAGUGCCUAGAGGACCUUCUGCUGCAGCAGGCGACGGCCAGGAAAACUCAGAUCCCUACACCUCCCGCACCAGUAGAAGUGGUUGCGCCCAGGGUGUCGUCCCCUGCACUCGACGCUUCUAGGACGGCACCAGCGGCGGCACCUCGGGGAGAGGACAUCGCGGCACCACCAGCGCGAGCAUCUGUAGCGGGGGCGGUUUUCCCCGUGAUGGUUGAGGGAGCUGAGCGGGAUCGGCUCAUGGAAUGACUCAGCGAGUUUAGGAGAUGCAGUCCCCGGACCAUUGACGGGGAGAACGUGGACCAUUGGAUUGUAGAGAAAUGGCUCAUGCAUAUGGAGAAGCUAUUUCGGGACACCUUCGUCGAAGAGAGGGAUAGAGUGUGGCUCGCCACACAUCAUUUGUACGGCGAGACCUAUAGAUGGUGGUUGGACAUCCAGGAGAACCCCAGCAUGGAUCUGACGGCGAUUACUUGGAGGAGGUUCAAGGAACUCCUACUGGAGCAUUACUUUCCGGACAGUGUCAAGAGGAAGAUGGAGCAGAAUCUACGCAACCUUCGCCAGGGAGACAGGACGGUGGCCGAGUACGAGAGAGAGUUCUCCUGGCUUCUUCAUUGCGUGCCCUUCGUUGUUCGGGACGACGAGGACAAGGCCCGCAUCUUUGAGCGGGGAUUGCAGCCUUCGAUCUUCCGAUUUGUUCAGUCUUCCAACCUCCAAACCUACCGGGAGGUUGUAAACCGCGCACUCAUCGUGGAGAGUGGAGCAGCGGAUCUGCAGGAGUGGCGAGAGGCCUUGGAUAAAGGUAAAGGCAAGAGGCCUGCGGCUGAUGGCACGAGUCAGGCGCACUAAGGGAGGCCGCCGAGACAUCCGCGACACCGGAGCCAGUCGUGAAGACGUGGCCAAUCUACUCAGCGAGGAGGACCUGAUCGACGCCAGGCUCCGCGCUGCGUGAUCUGCGAUGGUCCCUAUUUUUCACGGCAGUGUUCACGCAGUCGGGGCAGGUGCUACCUUUGUGGCCAGGAGGGCCACUUCCAGUCAGACUGCCCGAGAGGUCCAGCCCCAGCGCCAUCUUCGGCAUCUGCACCAGCUUUACCGGGUCCCAGCCAGGGGACACCUUCUGUGCAUCACCAGACUGGACGGCCGCCAGUGCAGCGGCAGGCAGAGGGGUCACGACAGGCCCCAAGUGGGCGCAUGUACGCGGCCCAGACUGAGGAGGCGGCGGCAGCCGAGAAUGUGAUCGCAGGUAUCAUUUUACUUUAUGGUAUUCGAGUUCGAGCAUUGUUCAAUACCAGUGCAUCGCAUUCAUUCAUAGACCGGCUGUUUGCCGAGUUGCAUGGCAUUCCUUUGACAUCUUUGUUGCAUCCGGGACGAGUCGUGGUACCCGAUCACUCUUUAGAUGUUCGAGAGUUUUGCCCCAAUUGCCCUGUUCGAAUUGGAGAUUGGGUUAUACCCAUAGACCUUUUAGCUUUGCAUAAACUCGGAGAGUUUGAUGUUGUUUUGGGCAUGGAUUGGUUGACCAAGUACUACGCCACUAUUGAUUGCAAGAAUCGAACUGUGACGUUUAGAAAGCCGAGGCAGGCGGAGGUUGUGUACCGAGGAUGCGCCAGAGUUCGCUGUUUGCGAUGACGAUUAG